UAGGGAAUCUUCCGCAAUGGACGAAAGUCUGACGGAGCAACGCCGCGUGAGUGAAGAAGGAUUUCGGUUCGUAAAACUCUGUUGUUAGGGAAGAAAAAAUGUAUAGUAACUAUAUACAAAAGAGACGGUACCUAACUAGAAAGCCACGGCUAACUACGUGCCAGCAGCCGCGGUAAUACGUAGGUGGCAAGCGUUGUCCGGAAUUAUUGGGCGUAAAGCGCGCGCAGGUGGUUUAGAAAGUCUGAUGUGAAAGCCCACGGCUCAACCGUGGAGGGUCAUUAGAAACUAAUAAACUUGAGUGCAGGAGAGAAAAGUGGAAUUCCUAGUGUAGCGGUGAAAUGCGUAGAGAUUAGGAGGAACACCGGUGGCGAAAGCGGCUUUUUGGCCUGCAACUGACACUGAGGCGCGAAAGCGUGGGGAGCAAACAGG
rnacentral:rRNA from 1 species